CCUACGGGUGACAGCAGUGGGGAAUAUUGCACAAUGGGGGAAACCCUGAUGCAGCGACGCCGCGUGAGUGAAGAAGUAAUUCGUUAGGUAAAGCUCUAACAGCAGGGAAGAAAAUGACGGUACCUGAGUAAGAAGCCCCGGCUAACUACGUGCCAGCAGCCGCGGUAAUACGUAGGGGGCAAGCGUUAUCCGGAUUUACUGGGUGUAAAGGGAGCGUAGACGGCAGUGCAAGUCUGGAGUGAAAGGCGGAGGCUCAACCCCGGGACUGUGCUGGAAACUGUACGGCUGGAGUGCAGGAGAGGUAAGUGGAAUUCCUAGUGUAGCGGUGAAAUGCGGAGAUAUUAGGAGGAACACCAAUGGCGAAGGCGGCUUACUGGACUGUAACUGACGUUGAGGCUCGAAAGCGUGGGGAGCAAACAGGAUUAGAUACCCCUGUAGUC
rnacentral:rRNA from 1 species